CCUACGGGGGGCAGCAGUGAGGAAUAUUGGUCAAUGGUCGGGAGACUGAACCAGCCAAGCCGCGUGAGGGAUGAAGGUACAGAGUAUCGUAAACCUCUUUUAUCAGGGAACAAAACCGGGGACGCGUCCCCGGAUGCGGGUACCUUAAGAAAAAGCAUCGGCUAACUCCGUGCCAGCAGCCGCGGUAAUACGGGGGAUGCGAGCGUUAUCCGGAUUUAUUGGGUUUAAAGGGUGCGCAGGCGGCCUGUUAAGUCAGCGGUAAAAGCCCGGGGCGAAACCCCGGAGAGCCGUUGAAACUGGCGGGCUGGAGUGGGAGAGAAGUAGGCGGAAUGCGUGGUGUAGCGGUGAAAUGCUUAGAUAUCGCGAAGAACCCCGAUUGCGAAGGCAGCGUACCGG
rnacentral:rRNA from 1 species